UCGUGCCGGUGCUAACACUAGGUAAUGGGUAUAUAUGCCACUUUUGUUAAAAACAUCACAAAAAAUUAUUUGUAAUCACAUUUCGUGUGAGGUGAUUUUUCUUUGCUAAUAAGUCCUUCGCAUGCAGAUUUCACAAACUUAGAGGUAAUGCAAAAAGGCUUAAUUGGCUAAUACGGAAUCCUCUCAUAUCGUGGACCAGUAAGAAUCAUACUGUGAUUCUCUCUCUCUGAAUAUAUCUCUAUUUGACUUAUGUGGUGUUCAAUCCUUUUUGCAUAUCAUUUACUUAAUGAUUCUAAUGCCUUCUAAAAUAAUGUGAAUUUUCUUGUAAUAAGUCCCGUGCCUUGUAUCAAAAAUUUCGUGCAUUUUUGUUUGUAAAAGCAAGUCUUAUUUAAAAAUGGUAAUUUUAAGAAUCCUUUUACUAAACAAAUACUAUGUCAUCAAAACUUCUCUUGGAAGAAUUUUUUUUGCUUUUUUGAUAGUAAUGCACUUUCUUCCGUUUUCGAAGAAGUGUAAAAGUGUCUUUAAUUUAAUGCAUGAGAUAUUGAUGUAUGCGCUUUUUCAUUCUUGCUUCUCCUAUUUUAAAUUUCUUAGGCAACUUAUCGUCUUCAACUUCCCCUCUCUUGUCCUAUAUAAUUCUCUCAAAACCUCCGUCUUUUCUCUAUUUUUUCUUCUCUUCUUCGUAGCUAAGCACUCUAAAACUCCUCCCUCUGGUAGCUGUAAAAAGCACCCGUUUUAAAGGGAGAAAAGGCAGUCCAGUCUCACCAGUCCCGUUGGAUUCUGAUGUCUUCCUUCAAAACCUUUACCCUCGACUGAUUCCUCUGGCUCCUUUCUGGGUAAUCAAGGAGGCCACCCAAGAUAGCUGCCAAGAUUCAGACCAUCACAAGUUCGCUCUCUUCAGUAAUCACAAGUCAGUUCACAAGCUUGAAGGAUGCUGCUGCUCAGACAUUAGCUUACUUCUUUUCUCGUCUUGGCAAUCCCCCUCCUGCUACUUGAAUGCUUUUUAAGACUUUUUCGUUGUAUCUGGGCGUAAACUCAUGAAUGCUUUAUUUUUGUGGUUCUUCCUUUUAU